UACGUAGGUGGCGAGCGUUGUCCGGAUUUACUGGGUGUAAAGGGCGUGUAGGCGGGAUUGUAAGUCAGAUGUGAAAUUCCAGAGCUUAACUCUGGCGCUGCAUCUGAAACUGUGAUUCUUGAGUGUUGGAGAGGAUAGUGGAAUUCCUAGUGUAGCGGUGAAAUGCGUAGAUAUUAGGAGGAACACCAGUGGCGAAGGCGGCUAUCUGGACAAUAACUGACGCUGAGGCGCGAAAGCGUGGGGAGCAAACAGGAUUAGAUACCCUGGUAGUCCACGCUGUAAACGAUGAAUACUAGGUGUAGGAGGUAUCGACCCCUUCUGUGCCGCAGUUAACACAAUAAGUAUUCCACCUGGGGAGUACGGCCGCAAGGUUG
rnacentral:rRNA from 1 species